rnacentral:rRNA from 1 species
UACGAAGGGUGCAAGCGUUACUCGGAAUUACUGGGCGUAAAGCGUGCGUAGGCGGUUUGUUAAGUCUGUCGUGAAAGCCCCGGGCUCAACCUGGGAAUGGCGAUGGAUACUGGCGAGCUAGAGUACGGUAGAGGAGAGUGGAAUUCCGGGUGUAGUGGUGAAAUGCGUAGAGAUCCGGAGGAACACCAGUGGCGAAGGCGACACGCUGGGCCGUACCUGACACUAAAACGCGACAGCAUGGGGAGCGAACGGG